CGUAAAGGUGCAUGAGUGGUAUUUGGUUUGUUACGGGUGGUUGGCUCUUUGCUUGCGCAACAACUUCCACCUGGCAUACCUCUUCAGUCUUGCGUCAAUGCUAAUUGCAUUGCAUGCACGGUGGGUUUCUUGUGUUGCAUUCCUAACUGAUGGUAUCAUUUGAUGAAUCGAUGUCCUUUUUCGUCUUGUGUUGCACAUGCGAUGUGAGAUGAACCAUGAAGCAGCCUUUGUGAUCCACUCUUUUGAUGCACCUGCAUUGAUUUGGUGGCCCAUUGAGUGUUGCUUGGUCUCAUGGAUAUGGAACCUGGUGUGGGCAUGGGAUCUUACGAGUUCCUUGUUUGCCCUAGUUUAGCUUUUCUAAUACGAUUGUCU
rnacentral:misc_RNA from 1 species